UAGCAUUACCCGGCCGCGUCUUCUAUUACGUACAGGCUCCCGCCUCGACAACAACGCGUAGUGUGAGUGCUUCGUACAUGUCGUAUAUUCGUGUUCGUCGCUGACACGCACGCGGGUUGUCCACGGAAGGUGAGAGAGAGCGCGCGCGCGUGAGAGAAAGCCAGACGGUUGCAGACGGGUAUCGAACCUGCUCGAACCCUAGACUCGGACGGAGAGGAGAGGAGAGGCGAGGAGCAGACGGUUCGAGAGUUUGCUGGAGAGACCGCCAUCGAUUUCUGAGUGUGCAGCGCAGUUGAUGCUCGACGAAGCUAGCCGCGUGUGAGUGAGUACACGUAGCCGACAGGGGAGCUAGCUGCAGCAGCUGCCCGCUGAAUCCCGUGCCCUCGCUCGCUCGUUCGGAAGUUUCAGUGGAGUCGGCGCUCAGUGACAACGCCCUGUACACGGAUCCGACAUGGGAGGCAUUGUCAGCUUCUGUCGCGACGGAGGAGCGGAACCGGUCGACGACAGCAAAGCUCCGACAAAGAAG